rnacentral:misc_RNA from 1 species
UUCCCAGCAUUGUCCCGCUGUUGAAGCCUCUGCAGCGACUCUAAACAAGUGCAAAGUCUGCCUGUGCAGGCUACACUCUCUUUCUGUGCUGAGAUUCCUUAACUGGAUGUCAGCAGCUCAGGCUUUGCCUGCGUCCACAGAUCAAACGGGGGUGGCCACACCGGUGGUUUAGAUAUGACCGGCCUUAGCUGUAGCCAGUUAAGAAUCAGUGUUCCGUAGGUGAACCUGCGGAAGGAUCAUUAAAGAGUAAGGGUCUUCUAGGCCCGACCUCCAACCCUUUGUAUACUUAUCUUUGUUGCUUUGGCGGGCCCGUUGGGGAGACCCACCGCUGGCCUUGGCUGGUGAGUGCCCGUCAGAGUCCACCUGAACUCUGUUUAUCAGUGAAGUCUGAGUAUCAUUCAAUAGUUAAAACUUUCAACAACGGAUCUCUUGGUUCUG